GCGCGGAUAGCUCAGUGGUAGAGCGGCUCGCUUACACCGAGUUGGUCGGGGGUUCGAAUCCCUCUCCGCGCACCA
rnacentral:tRNA from 2 species